ACACGAGUGGCGAACGGGUGAGUAACACGUGGGUGAUCUGCCCUGCACUCUGGGAUAAGCCUGGGAAACUGGGUCUAAUACUGGAUAGGACCAUAUGCUGCAUGGUGUGUGGUGGAAAGUUUUCGGUGCAGGAUGGGCCCGCGGCCUAUCAGCUUGUUGGUGGGGUAAUGGCCUACCAAGGCGACGACGGGUAGCCGACCUGAGAGGGUGAUCGGCCACACUGGGACUGAGACACGGCCCAG
rnacentral:rRNA from 1 species